CCUACGGGUGGCAGCAGUGGGGAAUAUUGGGCAAUGGGCGCAAGCCUGACCCAGCAACGCCGCGUGAAGGAAGAAGGCUUUCGGGUUGUAAACUUCUUUUGUCAGGGACGAAGCAAGUGACGGUACCUGACGAAUAAGCCACGGCUAACUACGUGCCAGCAGCCGCGGUAAUACGUCGGUGGCAAGCGUUAUCCGGAUUUACUGGGUGUAAAGGACAUGUAGGCGGGACUGAAAGUCAGAGGGGAAAACCACGGGCUCAACCUGUGGCCUGCAUUUGAAACUGUAGUUCUUGAGUACUGGGGAGGCAGACGGAAUUCCUGGUGUAGCGGUGAAAUGCGUAGAUAUUAGGAGGAACACCAGUGGCGAAGGCGGUCUGCUGGACAGAAACUGACGCUGAGGCGCGAAAGCGUGGGGAGCAAACAGGAUUAGAUACCCUUGUGUC
rnacentral:rRNA from 1 species